rnacentral:rRNA from 1 species
UACGGAGGGAGCUAGCGUUAUUCGGAAUUACUGGGCGUAAAGCGCACGUAGGCGGCUUUGUAAGUAAGAGGUGAAAGCCCAGAGCUCAACUCUGGAAUUGCCUUUUAGACUGCAUCGCUUGAAUCAUGGAGAGGUCAGUGGAAUUCCGGAGUGUAGAGGUGAAAUUCGUAGAUAUUCGGAAGAACACCAGUGGCGAAGGCGG